AUGGUUCAUUCAAAUUUCUGCCCUAUCAAGUUUCGAUGGUAGGAUAGAGGCUACCAUGCUUUUGUACGGGUAACGGCGAAUUAGGGUUCGAUUCCGGAGAGGGAGCCUGAGAAACGGCUACCACAUCUAAGGAAGGCAGCAGGCGCGCAAAUUACCCAAUCCUGAUUCAGGGAGGUAGUGACAAUAAAUAACAAUCCAGGACUUCGGUCUUGGAAUUGGAAUGAGAACAAUUUAAAUCUCUUAUCGAGGAACAAUUGGAGGGCAAGUCUGGUGCCAGCAGACGGGUAAUUCCAGCUCCAAAUAGCGUAUAUUAAAGUUGUUGCAGUUAAAUAGCUCGUAGUCGAAUCUUGGGGCUAGGUUUGAGCGGUCGAGUCUUUAGAGGUGUACUGUCGGACAGUUCUUUUACUUGUGGGGAACGGUAUGUGCCCUUUGCAGGGGAUGUGUACGGGAACCAU
rnacentral:rRNA from 1 species